CUACCUGGGAGUGUGGCUUUGAAGGCCAUUAACACUACUAUAGUUUUUCCAAGAACACAAGAGAUGCAGAGGACAAAGGUGAUCCCAAACGCUGUGUGGCGCAGCAUGCAGGACCACUCAGAGGGUGCUCCAAUGAAAGUUAA